rnacentral:rRNA from 1 species
UACGUAGGGGGCGAGCGUUGUCCGGAUUUAUUGGGCGUAAGGAGCUCGUAGGCGGUUUGGCAAGUCGGGUGUGAAAACUCCGGGCUCAACCUUCAGAGGUCGACCGAAACCAUCUGGCUAGAGUCCGGGAGAGGAGAGUGGAAUUCCUGGUGUAGCGGUGAAAUGCGCAGAUAUCAGGAAGAACACCCGUGGCGAAAGCGGCUCUCUGGAACGGUACUGACGCUGAGACGCGAAAGCUAGGGGAGCGAACGGG